AAAUUGAAGAGUUUGAUCAUGGCUCAGAUUGAACGCUGGCGGCAGGCCUAACACAUGCAAGUCGAACGGUAACAGGAAGCAGCUUGCUGCUUCGCUGACGAGUGGCGGACGGGUGAGUAAUGUCUGGGAAACUGCCUGAUGGAGGGGGAUAACUACUGGAAACGGUGGCUAAUACCGCAUAACGUCGCAAGACCAAAGAGGGGGACCUUCGGGCCUCUUGCCAUCAGAUGUGCCCAGAUGGGAUUAGCUUGUUGGUGAGGUAACGGCUCACCAAGGCGACGAUCCCUAGCUGGUCUGAGAGGAUGACCAGCCACACUGGAACUGAGACACGGUCCAGACUCCUACGGGAGGCAGCAGUGGGGAAUAUUGCACAAUGGGCGCAAGCCUGAUGCAGCCAUGCCGCGUGUAUGAAGAAGGCCUUCGGGUUGUAAAGUACUUUCAGCGGGGAGGAAGGUGUUGCGGUUAAUAACCGCAGCAAUUGACGUUACCCGCAGAAGAAGCACCGGCUAACUCCGUGCCAGCAGCCGCGGUAAUACGGAGGGUGCAAGCGUUAAUCGGAAUUACUGGGCGUAAAGCGCACGCAGGCGGUCUGUCAAGUCGGAUGUGAAAUCCCCGGGCUCAACCUGGGAACUGCAUUCGAAACUGGCAGGCUUGAGUCUUGUAGAGGGGGGUAGAAUUC
rnacentral:rRNA from 1 species